AUGCUUCCCCUUCCCUCCCCGCCCCGCCCCCGUAAGCAGCGGAGGCCCAGCAGGGAGGCAGCCUGCCAUGGGCCUUCCCUCCCCGCCCCGCCCCCCCCCCAGCAGCGGAGGCCCAGCAGGGAAGGAGCCUGCCAUGGGCCCUUGCUCAAGGGACCCCCACCUGGGCGGGGCCUCCUGGCUCCUGGGACUCACCAGCCUCAUCCUCAGGGUCAAGACCCUGCAGGUGUCGGCAGCCCUGGGACCCAGAGUUCUGGAAACGCUGUUUCCCUGAAGGGGAUGCAAGGAGCUUCUGUGUCCUUUCAUGUGAUCAGAAAUCCAGACUUGCCUCCAGUAGAUGAGCUGGAGAAGAUAUCAUGGGGCAUUGUAUUCAGAUCGAACUACAUAGUCAUGCUGCAGGUCUUUCCUGGGGCAGAUGUUCCAGAAUGGGUCAACUGGCAGGACAAGUUCCAGAAGAGGGUCCAUGUGUUCAACAUAACCACCCUGAGGAUUGACAACCUGACCCUGGAGGACACUGGGCUGUACCGGGCUCGAGACUCCUACACGAGAGGAAGACAAUACGACCAGGAUUUCCACCUGACUGUGUAUGAGCCUCUGCCCCUUCCCCAGAUCAGGACCACGAAUCUGUCCAUCACCCCAGGCUGGUGCAAUGUCACUGUGCAGUGUGACGCCCCGGGAACCAGGGAGGACCUGACCAUGUCCUGGGAGAGCAAGGGUCUCCCCAGGGAGCUGGAACAACGAGAGGCCACAGGACCAGCCCCCAACCCCUGGACCCUGGCUCUGAGCCUGCCCCUGAACCAGCCCAAUGCCAGCCUCACCUGUGUGCUCAGGAACCAGGUGGACCAGACAACUGCCACCUUGGACCUUGGGGACAUCUGUGGCCACAAUCCACAGGGACAGAGUGAUGCUGACCAUCUACCCGGCAUCCUGGUGACUGUUGUGGUCCUGCUGCUGAUCCUGGGAGCUGGACUGUUUCUCUGGAGGAGAGGGGUGAAGAAGAGCCUGGAGCCUGGGAGAGGUGCAGGGUCCCAGGAGGAGCAUAGGGACCCAAUGAUGGCAUCCACUCUGCAGAGCUGAGCCAGCAGGGGUCUGGACUCAGCAGGGACCAG
rnacentral:lncRNA from 1 species